rnacentral:rRNA from 1 species
CGCGCAGGCGGCCAUUCAAGUCAGGGGUGAAAGCCCAGAGCUCAACUCUGGAACUGCCCUUGAAACUGUAUGGCUUGAGUAUGAGAGAGGUGAGUGGAAUUCCCAGUGUAGAGGUGAAAUUCGUAGAUAUUGGGAAGAACACCGGUGGCGAAGGCGGCUCACUGGCUCAUUACUGACGCUCAGGCGCGACAGCGUGGGGAUCAAACAGGAUUAGAUACCCUGGUAGUCCACGCCGUAAACUAUGAACGCUAGCCGUUGGGCAGCUUGCUGCUCAGUGGCGCAGCUAACGCAUUAAGCGUUCCGCCUGGGGAGUACGGCCGCAAGGUUGAA